rnacentral:rRNA from 1 species
GGCGCACGGGUGAGUAACGCGUGGAAACCUACCCCGGGGUGGGGGAUAACCGCUGGAAACGGCGGCUAAUACCGCAUACGCCUUUUAAGGGAAAGAUUUAUCGCCCUGGGAUGGGUCCGCGUUAGAUUAGGUAGUUGGUGGGGUAAAGGCCUACCAAGCCGACGAUCUAUAGCUGGUCUGAGAGGAUGAUCAGCCACACUGGGACUGAGACACGGCCCAGACUCCUACGGGAGGCAGCAGUGGGGAAUCUUGGACAAUGGGGGCAACCCUGAUCCAGCCAUGCCGCGUGAGUGAAGAAGGCCUUAGGGUUGUAAAGCUCUUUCAACGGUGAAGAUGAUGACUGUAGCCGUAGAAGAAGCCCCGGCUAACUCCGUGCCAGCAGCCGCGGUAAUACGGAGGGGGCAAGCGUUGUUCGGAAUUACUGGGCGUAAAGGGCGUGUAGGCGGCUAUUCAAGUCAGGGGUGAAAGGCCUGGGCUCAACCUGGGAACUGCCUUUGAAACUGA